UACGUAGGGAGCAAGCGUUGUUCGGAUUUACUGGGCGUAAAGGGCGUGUAGGCGGUUAGUUAAGUCUGGCGUGAAAGCUCUCGGCUAAACCGGGAGAGGUCGUUGGAUACUGGCUGACUAGAGGACGGUAGAGGCGUGUGGAAUUCCGGGUGUAGUGGUGAAAUGCGUAGAGAUCCGGAGGAACACCAGUGGCGAAGGCGACACGCUGGGCCGUACCUGACGCUAAAGCGCGACAGCAUGGGGAGCAAACGGG
rnacentral:rRNA from 1 species